rnacentral:rRNA from 1 species
AUUGAACGCUGGCGGCGGCCUAACACAUGCAAGUCGAGCGGGGUUUUCGGACCUAGCGGCGGACGGGUGAGCAAUGCGUAGGAAGCUACCCGAUAGAGGGGGAUACCAGUUGGAAACGACUGUUAAUACCGCAUAAUGUCUACGGACCAAAGUGUGGGACCUUCGGGCCACAUGCUAUCGGAUGCGCCUACGUGGGAUUAGCUAGUUGGUGGGGUAAUGGCUCACCAAGUCGACGAUCCCUAGCUGGGUUGAGAGGAGGAUCAGCCACACUGGAACUGAGACACGGUCCAGACUCCUACGGGAGGCAGCAGUGGGGAAUAUUGGGCAAUGGGCGCAAGCCUGAUCCAGCCAUGCCGCGUGUGUGAAGAAGGCCUUCGGGUUGUAAAGCACUUUCAGUAGGGAGGAAGGAUGUUGUGUUAAUAGCACAGCAUUUUGACGUUACCUACAGAAGAAGCACCGGCUAACUCUGUGCCAGCAGCCGCAGUAAGAC